rnacentral:rRNA from 1 species
UACGUAGGGGGCAAGCGUUGUCCGGAAUCAUUGGGCGUAAAGAGCGUGUAGGCGGCCCGGUAAGUCCGCUGUGAAAGUCCAGGGCUCAACCCUGGGAUGCCGGUGGAUACUGUCGGGCUCGAGUCCGGAAGAGGAGUGUGGAAUUCCUGGUGUAGCGGUGAAAUGCGCAGAUAUCAGGAGGAACACCGGUGGCGAAGGCGGGUCUCUGGGCCGAAAUUGACGCUGAGGAGCGAAAGCGUGGGGAGCAAACAGG